GACAGAGGGUGCAAACGUUGCUCGGAAUCACUGGGCGUAAAGGGCGUGUAGGCGGGAAGGAAAGUCAGAUGUGAAAUCCCCGGGCUUAACCUGGGAACUGCAUUUGGUGACUGCAUGGCUAGAGUGCGGCAGAGGGGAUGGAAUUCCGCGGUGUAGCAGUGAAAUGCGUAGAUAUGCGGAGGAACACCGAUGGCGAAGGCAAUCCC
rnacentral:rRNA from 1 species